UCUCACAUCACAGGGGAAGCCAAUGCUUCUU
rnacentral:piRNA from 1 species